UUUUUAACAGAUAUUAGUCCAGAAAUAAUAAAAACUAUACAAAAUACAGGUACAGCAUUAAAUAACAUAAACAAGCAAAUUAAAUUGCAAUGUCUUUUUCAAUUAUCUAUUGGAAAAAAGAUAAAGAACUUAAAUGAAAGUAAUAAAAUAUCCCUACACAAAAAUAUUAAGAUUAUCUUGAAACAAAAGUUUUAUCUAAAUCAUAACCAUUCUGACUACAGAAAUCUAUAUAAAAAAAUCAGAAUAAGCGAACACACUCUUUUAAUAGAAAAGGGUCGACAUCUCAAGAUCCUUAGAGAUCAGAGAUACUGCAAAUUCUGUAAUGAGAUAGAGGACGGAAAACACUUCUUUCUCAAAUGCCCUAAUUAUAACUUUUAUAGGGGAAAAACAUUUCGACUCCAUGAAAAUCAAUUCUGAAUGGAAAGAUACUGCUGCUAACGAUGACAUGCUCAAACUUAAAAUAUUACUUAACCCCACAUCUCACAGUAUAAUUAAAAAUACAGUUUCCUUUAUAGACAGUCAUUAAAACUGAGGACGGGAGACCCAAACCAAUAAUUUGAACUGCUAUUCUGAUAUUGUAUAGUUUAUUUUUGUAUAUAUGUUUGUCAGAGAUCGUGUUUUUGAUUUAUAUGGCAGUAAAAGUAUUAGGUUUGAUUUGAUUUUGAUAUUUUAGAGACUUAAAAUCUAAUAAACAUUAAAUUGAUUUUAAACAGAGACAUUAUAUAACUCUGAUUCCAACUACAAUACAAUAGUUUCAGAGGUGUACCCCUUCGUGUGUGUGUGUGUGGGUGU
rnacentral:lncRNA from 1 species